CUGGCAUAUGCAGGAAAAUGAUGAAAUAUAUAAUCAUUUCAAUUACAAUAAUAAUGACUGCAUUGUGUGUAAGAAAAGUUACAGCAUUAGGAAAAUGUGAAAUCUCAAUAUUAACUUUGCGAUUUGUUGAGAAAUGUCCAGAAGAUAAGGAGUCGUGGGCAAGAGCAGCACAAAGAUUAAACUGUGAAUCUAUUUCUCAGUCCUGUGCAGAAUCUUUGAAACCCCCAUUCAGAAAUCAAAAUUACAUUUUCCAAUACCACUGUGUAAUAAACUCUUAUCGAAACGCAACAAUGGAAGUUUGUGCAUUAAAUCGUACAAUACUGGGUUUUUGCGCCGAGUUUAAUAUACAUGGAGCGGUCAUACAAGAUAAU